rnacentral:rRNA from 1 species
UGACGGGUAGCCGGCCUGAGAGGGUGACCGGCCACAUUGGGACUGAGAUACGGCCCAGACUCCUACGGGAGGCAGCAGUGAGGAAUCUUGCGCAAUGGGCGAAAGCCUGACGCAGCCACGCCGCGUGCCGGAAGACGGCCCUAUGGGUUGUAAACGGCUUUUGCCAGGGAAGAACGAGGGGGUUUCGACCUUCUGUGACGGUACCUGGUGAAUAAGCACCGGCUAACUCCGUGCCAGCAGCCGCGGUAAUACGGAGG